rnacentral:rRNA from 1 species
GAUGAACGCUGGCGGCGUGCCUAAUACAUGCAAGUCGAGCGAACAGAUGAGGAGCUUGCUCCUCUGACGUUAGCGGCGGACGGGUGAGUAACACGUGGAUAACCUACCUAUAAGACUGAGAUAACUUCGGGAAACCGGAGCUAAUACCGGAUAAUAUAUUGAACCGCAUGGUUCAAUAGUGAAAGCCGGUUUUGCUGUCACUUAUAGAUGGAUCCGCGCCGCAUUAGCUAGUUGGUAAGGUAACGGCUUACCAAGGCAACGAUGCGUAGCCGACCUGAGAGGGGGAGCGCACAAGCUGGAACGGAGACACGGUCCAGACUCCUACGGGAGGCAGCAGUAGGGAAUCUUCCGCAAUGGGCGAGAGCCUGAUGGAGCAACGCCGCGUGAGUGAUGAAGGUCUUCGGAUCGUAAAACUCUGUUAUUAGGGAAGAACAAAUGUGUAAGUAACGAUGCACGUCUUGACGGUACCUAAAUAGAAAGCCACGGCUAACUACGUG